rnacentral:lncRNA from 1 species
CGAGGAGGAGUAUCUUGCCAUCUGCCUCAUCAUGCUUGCCCGCGGAAACAGAGGUGGAGACCUCGCCUCUACUACCGCCACCGCCGCCACAGCCACUAAAGAAACAAACUCCGCCGCCUCACACCAGAUCAUCACUCAAUCCCCUUCUAUGGAGCCCUCCACGUCAGCAUCUCCGCCGGUUAAGCUGAGCUACAAGUGCUCUGUUUGCGACAAGGGCUUCUCUUCCUACCAGGCGCUCGGAGGACACAAGGCCAGCCACCGGAAAGGCUCUGCAGCUGGAUCGGCCAUCGACGGCCCGUCCACGUCAUCAACCACAACAAC